GGCCUGGUAGUGUAAUGGUAACACGUCCUCUGGGAUUGGUUCUUUUAUCCGGCACAUCAAUGAGGGAGUGCCCUGUUCGACCCGGGGCCAGGCCA